UUAAUUAUGUGAGUAUUUUAUCAAUCCUUUGUCUUUUCCCCUUGUAUGUGUGUUUGUGUCUAUGUCUAUUCUUCUAUUCUAUUGGAAGGAUCUUAAACUUAAUAAGCCACAAUGUAAUGCAAACCUACUUCUGGGCACAUAGGGCCAGAACUUGAUGAAGCAAGAGAGGAACUGAAGUUGAAAAGUUAAGGAGGUGCUUGCGCUCAGGAUGUCCAUACAAAACUUUUCCACUGCCAUCCAACUCCUGUGAAGAUCUGGAAAGUAAAGUGUCAUAGCACAGUGCUGGAUAUACAACCACAGCAUCAAAUUCUGCAUCAGAUGUGGAGAAAGGCAGAAAGCUCUCUUCCCAAGGGUGUGCAUCCUGGGCAUUGCAUCCACCUAUGAAGGCGAGUCAGCACGUG
rnacentral:lncRNA from 1 species